UAGGGAAUCUUCGGCAAUGGACGAAAGUCUGACCGAGCAACGCCGCGUGAGUGAAGAAGGUUUUCGGAUCGUAAAACUCUGUUGUUAGAUAAGAACAAGGACGUUAGUAACUGAACGUCCCCUGACGGUAUCUAACCAGAAAGCCACGGCUAACUACGUGCCAGCAGCCGCGGUAAUACGUAGGUGGCAAGCGUUGUCCGGAUUUAUUGGGCGUAAAGCGAGCGCAGGCGGUUUCUUAAGUCUGAUGUGAAAGCCCCCGGCUCAACCGGGGAGGGUCAUUGGAGACUGGGAGACGUGAGUGCAGAAGAGGAGAGUGGAAUUCCAUGUGUAGCGGUGAAAUGCGUAGAUAUAUGGAGGAACACCAGUGGCGAAGGCGGCUCUCUGGUCUGUAACUGACGCUGAGGCUCGAAAGCGUGGGGAGCAAACAGG
rnacentral:rRNA from 1 species